CCACAUCGCGUUGAAACACCGGUUCUCGUGCGAUCACCGAAGUUAAGCAAGAGUAGAGCCUGGUCAGUAUCGAGAUGGGUGACCGUUUCAGAAUAUCAGGUGCUGUAAG